AAAUAAGUAUAGUAAGAUUAUUUUUAAUUAAAUUAAUAAAUAAUUAUUUAUGUAAUUAACAAAAUAAAUAUUAUGAAAAACUUAAAAAUUAAGAUUUUAAGCUGAUAUAUAAGUUCUAUUAUUUAAUUUAAUUUGAAUAUUAAAAAUACAAUUUUAAUUUGUAAUUCAUAUCAAUAAAUGUAAUAAAUCAGCACACAUAUAAAAACAAAAAAACUAAAUUUUAAUAUUUAAUAUUUGUUAAUAAAAAAGUAACCAAUAAUUAUUAAUUUAAGUAUUAUUUUUACAGAUAUAUUUUUAAAAAUAUAAAUAUGUUGUUAAUAAAAUUAUCAAAUUUUAAAUGCGUUUAUUAAAUGCGUUCGUCUAAGAUUAUUAUUUAAGAUUAUUCUUGUAUAUAUAUUUCAUUUUUUAUAAUUCUACUCAAAAAAAUGUACCACAUAAUAAAUAUUUUAGUAGCAUAGUAAUUUGUUAACUAAUUAUUAAAGUGUUCCAUAGAAAUUUUUAAAAUAAAACAAACAAAGUAAAAAAAGAAUUAAAAUAAAAAUUUUAAUUAAAAUUAAAAAAUUAAAAUAGGGAGAGCCCUACUCUCCUUUACAAAGAGAACAUAAAUUUAUAUGUAAUUGUAUGUUUGAUUGGGGCAAUACUAUAUCUUGUUAUAUAGAAUAAGAACUAUAAUUAUUGAAAUAAUAAAAGGUUCGAGCAGGUUAACAAGCAUUAAAACUAAAUGUGUUUCAUCGUCUACUUAUUACAAAAAAAUUGAUUGUUCAUCAAAAGUGUAAUUCGUUAGUUGGGUUAAAAU
rnacentral:rRNA from 1 species